CAGCAGUCGCCACGGUAAAACGAAGGGUGCAAGCGUUAUCCGGAUUCACUGGGUUUAAAGGGUGCGUAGGCGGGCAGUUAAGUCAGUGGUGAAAUCUCCGGGCUCAACCCGGAAACUGCCGUUGAUACUAUCUGUCUUGAAUGUUGUGGAGGUGAGCGGAAUAUGUCAUGUAGCGGUGAAAUGCUUAGAUAUGACAUAGAACACCGAUUGCGAAGGCAGCUCACUACACAGAAAUUGACGCUGAGGCACGAAAGCGUGGGGAUCAAACAGGAUUAGAUACCCCCGUAGUCCCUGUCUCUUAUAC
rnacentral:rRNA from 1 species